GUGGCCUCGAUCAGGUUUUCUACGAAAGUCAAGAGGGUUUCGUCGAUCCAUCGCCUCAUAGGUAAUGAUCUCAACAAAAUCUCAAAUUGGUAUUCACACCUUCUCAUCACGAAUCGUGAUUUGAAUUUCUCAUCUUCCAUUAUUUUUUGUUUUACAUAGUAUCCAGUGAACCCACGGUGAACUCAAGGAUGGCUGGAGGUGGAAAUUUCCUUAACAGAGUAUUAUCUUAUCUAGCUAAUGAGCUGAUAGUCAAUGGCCUCGCCAACAGGUAAUUCAUUUGCAUAAAUAUCAAACAUAGAAGAAAGAUAGCUCCGUUCCCCCUUUGGGUUGUUCUUUGGAAUUAUACUUUUAGAGGUAAAAUAACUCAUGACAUUGAACAGCUCAUCACAAAUUCACUAUCUUUGGUGAGUUAAUGUAAUUUAUCAGUGAAAGGAGAGUCUUAUAGUUUGUCUUUAAUAAUUGGGCAUUUGCCAAUGAUGACUCAUCGUGGGCUUGUAAUGGUUGCAGAGAUGACCGCAGUUUUUUUUUUUUUUUCUCUCACAAAAUAUAGCAGUGUGAGGCUUCUCUUUGUUUAUAGAAUUAUAUAUUAUUCAAUAUGAGAAGAAAACCCAGCAUUCUGGUUUAAUUUUAUAUUGGAUUAUUAAGCCAGAACAAUUACUUAUUAUCAAU
rnacentral:lncRNA from 1 species